GAUGUCGACUUGGAGGUUGUUCCUUGAGGAGUGGCUUCCGGAGCUAACGCGUUAAGUCGACCGCCUGGGGAGUACGGCCGCAAGGUUAAAACUCAAAUGAAUUGACGGGGGCCCGCACAAGCGGUGGAGCAUGUGGUUUAAUUCGAUGCAACGCGAAGAACCUUACCUACUCUUGACAUCCAGAGAACUUAGCAGAGAUGCUUUGGUGCCUUCGGGAACUCUGAGACAGGUGCUGCAUGGCUGUCGUCAGCUCGUGUUGUGAAAUGUUGGGUUAAGUCCCGCAACGAGCGCAACCCUUAUCCUUUGUUGCCAGCGAUUCGGUCGGGAACUCAAAGGAGACUGCCAGUGAUAAACUGGAGGAAGGUGGGGAUGACGUCAAGUCAUCAUGGCCCUUACGAGUAGGGCUACACACGUGCUACAAUGGCAUAUACAAAGAGAAGCGACCUCGCGAGAGCAAGCGGACCUCAUAAAGUAUGUCGUAGUCCGGAUUGGAGUCUGCAACUCGACUCCAUGAAGUCGGAAUCGCUAGUAAUCGUGGAUCAGAAUGCCACGGUGAAUACGUUCCCGGGCCUUGUACACACCGCCCGUCACACCAUGGGAGUGGGUUGCAAAAGAAGUAGGUAGCUUAACCUUCGGGAGGGCGCUUACCACUUUGUGAUUCAUGACUGGGGUGAAGUCGUAACAGGG
rnacentral:rRNA from 1 species